rnacentral:rRNA from 1 species
AACGAACGCUGGCGGCGUGCCUAACACAUGCAAGUCGAACGCGAAAAGCAGUAAUGCUGAGUAGAGUGGCGCACGGGUGAGUAACACGUAAAUGACAUGUCGAGGAGACAGGGAUAACCGUUCGAAAGGAUGGCUAAUACCUGGUAAGCCCACGUCCUUGGGGAUGAGGGAAAAGGUCGGGACCUUUCGAGGCCGAUCGCUUCUUGAGUGGUUUGCGGCCCAUCAGGUAGUUGGCGAGGUAAAAGCUCACCAAGCCUAAGACGGGUAGCUGGUCUGAGAGGAUGAUCAGCCACACUGGAACUGAGACACGGUCCAGACUCCUACGGGAGGCAG